rnacentral:piRNA from 1 species
UAAAUUCACUUUUACUAUGGUGACAAUCCC